AAUACAUAUCAGAAAAAGAAAUAGACAGAAAAAAAAAAAAAAUGUUUUCGAAGGUUUUCGUCAUGUGCUUCUUUGGUAUUAUUAUGGUGGGAGGCAUGGCUCCGGUAGUCCAUGCUUUAGUUCACAAGUUUGAAGUGAGAAGAACUUCACACAGCAGGCUAUGCACCAACAAAACCAUGCUAACGGUAAACGGCCAAUUCCCGGGGCCAACUAUAUAUGCUAGAAGGGGAGAAGUGGUGGUAGUCGAUGUUAUUAAUCGCUCCCAUCAAAAUAUUACUAUCCACUGGCAUGGAGUAAAAAUGCGGAGAUAUCCAUGGACAGAUGGAGUCAACUACGUGACACAGUGUCCUAUUAGUCCCGGCAAGAGGUUUAGACAACAGAUUGUGCUGUCUAACGAAGAAGGCACUUUGUUUUGGCACGCUCACAGCGAUUGGUCUCGAGCUACUGUGUAUGGCGCCAUAGUCAUUCUACCGCCCGAAAACACACACUUAUCCUUUCCCUAAGCCUCAUGCUCAAGUUCCAAUCUUACUAGGAGAGUGGUGGAACGAUGAUGUGGAACAAGUUUACAAGAAUUUUCUAGCCGAAGGACGCGAUCCCAAAGUUUCUGAUGCAUUCGUCAUGAAUGGCCAACCUGGCGACCUAUAUCCAUGCUCAAAACAAGAUACAUUCAAGUUGAGUGUGGAGGCGGGCAAGACUUACCUGAUCAGAAUGGUUAAUGCAAUGAUGGACUACAUCAUGUACUUCAAGAUCCACAACCACAACAUCACCGUCGUCGGCAUGGACGGCACCUACACGAAGCCGCUGAACACCGAUCACGUCGCCAUUGCCCCCGGCCAGACCAUGGAUUUCCUUCUCGAAGCCAACCAGCCGCCCAACCGUUAUUACAUGGCCGGCGUCGUACACGCCUCCGGAGCGGAUUACGUCCCCACCACCGGAAUCCUCGACUACCUCGGUAACUACACCCCGCCGUCGUCGCCCGUCCUUCCAUCUUUCCCUGACUUGAGUGGCAGCUGGGCGUCGACCCAUUUCAGCAAGAGGCUCAGAAGCCUGGCCAACGACGACUACCGCAUCCAAGUUCCCAAGAACAUCACACGCAACCUCUUCUUCGUUCUCUCCAUCAAUCUGUGGCCAUGUCUCACGAGUUCGUGCGUGCAGAGCGAGAGGCUGCUGGCGAGCAUUAACAACGUGUCGAUGCUGAUGCCGCAAAACGGCAACAUUCUCGAGGCUUAUUACAAAGGGGUCAGAGGAGUUUUCACGCCCGAUUUCCCGGCGCAGCCGGCGAGAGUGUUCGACUUCACGCAAGGUGAUUUUCCGCAGAGUGAGUCGCACCCCCGAUUCGGAACGGCUGUGUACAUGUUGGAGUAUAACUCGGAAGUUGAGAUCGUGCUUCAAGGCACCAACCUCGGCGAGGGAAUCGACCAUCCCAUACAUUUACAUGGAUACACUGUCUACGUCGUCGGAACCGGAUUCGGGAACUUCGACCCAACCAGGGAUCCGGAAAACUAUAAUCUCGUUGACCCGCCGUUGAUGGACACCUUUGCCGUUCCAAGAAAUGGAUGGGCUGUUAUCAGAUUCAAGGCUAACAAUCCCGGAGUGUGGUACAUGCACUGCCAUUUCGAGCGGCAUCUGAGCUGGGGAAUGAAGAUGGUGUUCAUCGUUAAGGACGGGGAAGGCCCCAAUGAGAAGAUGCUGCCGCCGCCGCCAGAUAUGCCGCCCUGUGAUGCGCCCCCUCAAGCAUUAGUAUUUAGGAUUUGAUUUAUUAAUUUGUUUGGGAUUUGAAUAAUGAUAUACUCUUUUGUAAGAGUGAAAGAUGGAGGGUAGAAAUUCCAAUCACCUCAAAACAUAUAUAUCCCCCAAACUAAAAAUCUAUACCUAUUAUAGUAUAUUGUGUUUGUCUUUUGGUGUUUACUUGUCGCUAUGAUAGACGAGUGCUCUUUUUCCUAGCUUGGUGUUUUUUUCUUUGAAUUUUAGCUAGUAAAAUUUUGAUGAGACUCGGCCGCCCUUAGAUUGUGUCAUGUGUUCUGAAGGGUGUGUUACGUCCCUUACUCUUGUUUUGUUCCGUUUUACCCAUUUAUACAUUUGUAGCCAAUGUUGGCCCUAGUGUUCAUGGAAGAGAAGAAGUUGGAACAUUUUAAAGUUUUAAAGUGAAAAUUGAGACAAAUUUAGGAGAAUAAUUUUGCACGGAAGCUUCCUCCGUCAAUAAAUUCUCCUCUAUGGGGCCAAUUUACAGAAACGAAUUUUAUUCUGAAAUUAUUUCAU